rnacentral:lncRNA from 1 species
GGAGCUUCUGGUGGCACCAGGCCACCACACCCCAAGGAGCUGCUGGAGGAUGGUGAGGCUGAGGGGGCUGGGGGGGCCGAGGGGACGGCGAUGCUGAAGGGACGGUGAUGCUGAGGUGAUGGUGGCACUGAGGGGACAGUGGGGCUGAGGGGGCUGGGGGAGCUGUAGGGGACGGUGGGGACUAAAGGGUUUGGGGAACUGAGCGGAAUGGCAGGAAUGGAGGGGCCUGAAGGAGCUGUGGGGAAGCGUGGGACUGAGGGAACUGGCAAGAGACACGGGCUGAGACAGGUGUUGGGGCUAAGUGGGCUGGGAAACUGAGGGAAAUGAGAGUCUGAAGGGACUGAGGAGACUGGAGGGGCUCUGGGUUUGCCAAGGGCAUGGUGGGGCCAAGGGGAUAGUGGGGGACCAACGGGGAGCACAGUGGGGUCCAAGCCUGCUGGGCCACAGCACCAGUUCCAGGCUCUCCACUUUUGCCAGGACUGCCCUGAAUUCCUUGUGAGCAGCAAGAGACUGAUGAGGGCCAAGAGAGAGAAGCUGACGACCACCAACCACAUCUUGAACAGGGACCUGCUGCUGCUGCUGCCUGAGACCCUUGAUGUCCAUCUGUACCUCUCCAGGAGGGCUGCUCUGCAUGGGAGGGAGAGACCGAGGAAGAGCCUGUGAAGAUGGGGCGGCUGGGAUCCCUCUGUAUAUACUUCUAUUUAGAGAUGUGUAUAGUUAUCGUUAUACCUAGGUAGUUAUAGGUAUAUAGAUAUUUGCAUAUGUAGAUUGAUAUAUUUGUAUAGGUAUAUUUAUAUAUUUAUCUAGUUAUAUAUGUACCUAGUUGUAUUUAUGUAUGUAUCUAGUUGUAUUUAUAUAUCUAUGUUAUAUUUCUAUCUGUAUUUAGUUAUAAUUACAUAUGUGUGCAGUUGUAUAGCUAUAUAGUUAUAUUAUUCUAGUUAUAGGUAUAUGGAUUUUUAGGUGCAUAUAUUAAUAUGUAUCUAGUUAUAUUUAUGUAUGUCCAUUGCUAUAUUUAUGUAUAUUGUUAUAUUUUCAUUAUAUUUAAAUAGGUAUAGAGUUGUAUAACUGUCUAGUUAUAUUGAUGUAGUUAUAGACCUAUGGAUAUAUUGAUAUUUGUAUAUUUAUAUAUAGGUUCACUAUGUGUAUAUUUAUAUAUGUAUUUAUAUAGUAUAUUUAACAUGUAAUUAUAUUUGUAUCUAUAUUGUUAUGGUUAUGUGUAUGUAGUUAUGUUUCUGUAGGUACAGAGUUGUAUAGUUUUAUAAUUAUAUUUAUUUACUUAUAGGUACGGUGUUAUUUGGAUAGAUGUAUUGAUAUUUUUGUAUUAGUUUAUAGGCUGUACAGUUGUAGUACUCUGCAAUAAGUUAACUUUUUUAACUGCAGUUAAUAUUUGUAUAUUUUUACAUAGCAUAGUUGUAGCAAUCUAAUAAAUUGUUUUAAACUUAAAUCGAUAUUUAUGUA